AUUGAACGCUGGCGGCAGGCCUAACACAUGAAAGUCGAACGAGUGGCGGACGGGUGAGUAAUGUCUGGGAAACUGCCCGAUGGAGGGGGAUAACUACUGGAAACGGUAGCUAAUACCGCAUACAAUCGGAUGUGCCCAGAUGGGAUUAGCUAGUAGGUGGGGUAACGGCUCACCUAGGCGACGAUCCCUAGCUGGUCUGAGGGGAUGACCGGCACAACUGGAACGAGGACACGGUCCAGAUUCCUACGGGAGGAAGCAGUGGGGAAUAUGGAACAAUGGGCGCAAGCCUGAUGCAGCCAUGCCGGGUGUAUGAAGAAGGCCUUCGGGUUGUAAAGUACUUUCAGCGAGGAGGCGUUACUCGCAGAAGAAGCACGGGCAAACUCCGUGCCAGCAGCGCGGUAAUUC
rnacentral:rRNA from 1 species